UUCCUCUUCCUCUGAUCCUUUUUUCCUUCUUCUGUACAUUCAUAAGUCUUCCAAUCAAUUAUUUUUCCAUUUCGUUUCUUUCCAAUGGCUACUUCUUAGCUAUAAAUCUACACUAAUGACUCCGUUAUCACCACUUACUCUUCACUAAAUUCUUCUUAAAUCAGAAGCUAAAUGAAUUUAUUAGUUAAAGCGGAAUCGUAAUCAGGAUGGG
rnacentral:lncRNA from 1 species